UAAUACCGCAUAUGGGCUGAGGCCCAAAGCCGAGAGGCGCCUUAGGAGCGGCCUGCGUCCGAUUAGGUAGUUGGUGGGGUAAAGGCCUACCAAGCCUGCGAUCGGUAGCUGGUCUGAGAGGACGACCAGCCACACUGGGACUGAGACACGGCCCAGACUCCUACGGGAGGCAGCAGUGGGGAAUAUUGGACAAUGGGCGAAAGCCUGAUCCAGCAAUGCCGCGUGGGUGAAGAAGGUCUUCGGAUCGUAAAGCCCUUUCGACGGGGACGAUGAUGACGGUACCCGUAGAAGAAGCCCCGGCUAACUUCGUGCCAGCAGCCGCGGUAAUACGAAGGGGGCUAGCGUUGCUCGGAAUUACUG
rnacentral:rRNA from 1 species